CACACUGCAAGAUGCUUGAAGUCCAGUGUGAAGUUUCCACAGUCUGUGUUGAUUUGGGGAGCCAUGUCAUCUGCUGGUGUUGGUCCAUUGUGCUUUAUUAAGUCCAGGGUCAACGCAGCCGUCUACCAGGAGAUUUUGAAGCACUUCAUGCUUCCUUCUGCAGCCAAGCUUUAUGGGGAUGCUGAACAACAAGGAGGGAAGACAGGAGAAAGUCUUAAUUUUGAUACAUAAUUGACACAAGCUAUAUCAGUAGCAAGUUGAUACAUU